UGAUGUAUACGUAAUGUGAGAUGUAAACAUUCAUUUUCAUUUUUUUAAACAGACGAUAAUAGUCUUUGAUUAAGAAUAAUGUUUUUAAAAUAUCUAAUUUUAUUACUCUUUCUUCGAGAAAAAAAAACAACGUAUGGAGGAAUAAAAUAUGGUAUCUCAUGAUAGUUCUGUCGAAACCAUAAAAUAUUUGUAUAAAGUCAGUAAAACUGUUUAGUUCAAUGUUGUACGAACAACCAUGAUGUAUUGAUACCGUAUCGGUUUUUGCCGAAAAUAUGCGAAGUUUGACCUGUUUAUGCACAAAAAAAAUAAAUGUGAGUUAAUAAAUAAAAGUUCCCUUUAUUUUUAUUGGGUGUAGGAUGAGAUAUACCCUGACGCAUUUCAUUGAAAUGGUAAAAGGUAUUUAUAUAUUGCAUUAAAUCCCUUUGCUAAAAAAAGUAUGUUGAAAUAGUUUUCUUGCUUUCCAAGUUGUUGUUUAUAAACGUCGACUUCAUGACGUUAUUGCGGUUUUUUGUAAGAAAGAACGUUGUGUUUAACUAACUCUCACAACGCUAUGUUUAACUUAACUCUCACAAUGCUAUAUUAACGACAUGAGAUAUCAGGAAAAAUUAAUUUUUUCUGAGAAUUGCAUAUUGUGGACAUCUUAUGUAUCUGAUAUUGCUGCAAGACGCACCUAGCUAUGUUGUGGCAAUAAGCAUCUAACACUACGGAAUUCACUUAUUCUGUAUGACUUUGGACUGAUUUAAGGUUGAACAGCCGUUUUGUGAGAGAUUACAUUUUCGUGUGGGAAUUCAGCUUGGCAUUAAACCUGCAUCCGACACACAUAUUGUAUACGUAUUAAUCAGAAAACAUGAUGAACAUCCCCUCCCGCCUUAAUCCAAUUUGAUCUUGACCUGAAAGAAACCGCUUUUGAUUGUUUAUCUUUUUUCCACAAAAUGGACAUACAAUCAGUGAAUUAGGAUAUUGGGAUUGCAUAUGUAUUUAUGUGGAAAUGUGGCAUGCUUUUGAUUCGGAAGUGCUGUGUCCAAGUUAAUCACCUAACUGAAGUAGAAGGCAAAAUAAUUCACAAAAUUGAAACAUGAAACAUUGAAACUUGUACCAAAAGAUUGAUCCUUACCUUACAAAAAUAGAUUCCCUAAGGUUAGCCUUUAUAGAUGUCACGGUGACCUAUGUGAAUCCCAGACAAUAUGGUGGAAAUGAACAUACUAGUCUACUUUUCGGUAAAGGAUUAUCUCAUAUUCACAGUGAGCGAGCUGGUGCGCUACUCAGAAUUGUUUUGUAUGUACCCGUCAAUAAAGCACACCUGAUCUCAAUUGGCUGGCAGACUGCAACUCAUAAAUAUUCAUAACAUGAUAUAUUCGUGCAUUUUCAUUGCCAUACCUUUGGUAAACUACCGACAAUCUUAGACAAAGAAAACAUUCCGUCAUUGUGUAAGUCUGGUUUCUUUCAUAAAUAAAACGUACAAAUGGUUGUAUAUUAUUUCCAUUUUCAUACUACGUUAAUAUUCAACAUGUCUGUGGAUAACUGAUUUUUGAAUGAAUUAUUUAUAUCAAAUAGUCCGUAUUAAUUUUGAUACACCCUGUAGGUCGGGUCUACGUGACUUUAGCGGCUAGAUGGUACAAGUUAAUUUGUAUGCACUACGUCACACUCGGUACUCCCUGUGAUCGAACCCAUUCAUUACACUUUUUCCAACCGAAGCACCCAUCCACCCUCCCCCAAUUUUAAUUUGUAUAUACAUGUUCUUUCCUUUUGGUUCUGCUGUUUCCAUCUCUUUCAUAGGUUUCGCAACAGACGAAGACUCCCAACAGGUUACCUGGAUAAAGUAAAUGGUAAAGCCUGGACCACACCAAGUGUGACUGCAUUGCCAUUCCGGAUGGAGUGCCUUAAUAACAACUUUUUAAAUGUUAAAGGGGAAUUUUUAAUUUUAAGGCAAAUUGUUGAUACAGUGUAUUUGAGUCUAAUUAAUUAGACAGUCGCAUGUUUAAGGGGGAGUUGGGGACUGGGGAGUCGGUAAUGGUAUGUGAUGACUGUUUCUGCACCAAAACCUGGUUGUUUCCCCCACCUGCUUCUAAAGCAGGGGGCAAUUUACAGUACUAAAAGUCGUACAAGUUAAAAGAAGUAAACUAAUAGUGGGGCCACCAUCGGGGACGGUUGGGGCCACAUCCACCUCACUUCAGUAAGGGGAUGCUACAGUCUGAUGCAUGUUUGGGGCUUAUGUCCAACAUGAUAAUGUACAUACCAGGUAGCACUGCAGGAAACAGGGUGAGAAAGGCGGGUCUCGCUUAUUGUCCAUUUCUAUAUAUCCCGAAUGUGUCAUUGCUGUUAUAUGAAUAAAUUGGUAAACGUU